UACGUAGGGGGCUAGCGUUGUCCGGAUUUAUUGGGCGUAAAGAGCUCGUAGGCGGCCUGUUGCGUCCGCUGUGAAAGCCCGGGGCUUAACCCCGGGUCUGCAGUGGAUACGGGCAGGCUAGAGGUAGGUAGGGGAGAAUGGAAUUCCCGGUGUAGCGGUGAAAUGCGCAGAUAUCGGGAGGAACACCGGUGGCGAAGGCGGUUCUCUGGGCCUUACCUGACGCUGAGGAGCGAAAGCGUGGGGAGCGAACAGG
rnacentral:rRNA from 1 species